AACGAACGCUGGCGGCAGGCUUAACACAUGCAAGUCGAACGCCCCGCAAGGGGAGUGGCAGACGGGUGAGUAACGCGUGGGAAUCUACCCAGUUCUACGGAACAACACAGGGAAACUUGUGCUAAUACCGUAUACGCCCUACGGGGGAAAGAUUUAUCGGGAGUGGAUGAGCCCGCGUUGGAUUAGGUAGUUGGUGGGGUAAUGGCCUACCAAUGCGAAGAUCCAUAGCUGGUCUGAGAGGAUGAUCAGUGACACUGGGACUGAGACACGGCCCAGGAUCCUACGGGAGGCAGGCGUGAGGAAUAUUGGAAAAUGGGCGCAAGCCUGAUCCAGCCAUGCCGCGUGAGUGAUGAAGGCCUUAGGGUUGUAAAGCUCUUUCAGUGGGGACGAUAACGACGGUACCCACAGAAGAAGCCCCGGCUAACUCCGUGCCAGCCGCCGCCGUAAGAC
rnacentral:rRNA from 1 species